AUGGUGCCACCUUAUGAAGAGACAGAAUCAAGACGUCGAUGGCACGAAAGCGACCCACACAGGUUGCCAGUUAGAGGGACGAACCAUCGUGUAACACCACAGUACGAAGAGGUGGAGCGUCAGUAUGCAUCCUUACCGAGACGAGGUCCGUUGGAUCCUGCAGAUUAUCCCGUCCAGCCAUGGGCAGGUCAUUACCCCGGGCCUCCCCAGGCCCAGCAGGGAUACCCCCAAUCCCAGACCUACUCCAACUCCCAGCCUGGCUUGUCUCAUUCCAACUACCCACCUGGCCCGCCAUACCCACGACCAGGAGACCCUCGGGGGAUUGAUGCUGGGUACCAUCCCCACCCCAGCUCCCAGCAGAGAGGGCCCUUACGACAGGAUGUGCCCCCAUCUCCUCCCCUCCGGGCCCCACGGUAUGGAACUAUGACCCAUGGAACUGUGGGGGGAGGGUACAGGUAAAGAGGGCCGGUCUUCUGUUAG
rnacentral:lncRNA from 1 species